rnacentral:rRNA from 1 species
UGGUGAUUAUGGCGGAGCGCCUACACUCGAUCCCAUCUCGAACUCGACCGUGAAAUGCUCCAGCGCCGAUGGUACUUCGUCUUAAGACGCGGGAGAGUAGGUCGUUGCCA